rnacentral:lncRNA from 1 species
CAAAAUCAAUAUGAUUAUUUGACUUACUUACUCUUACAAAUCACUGAAAUUACCUUGAGGCAGUUCAAGUUCACCUUUCUGAAAUUAAAUCUGUUAAAUGAUAGACAUCAUCUAACCAUCUUCUUAAGAAACCUCAACUUUCUGGUUUAACAGGAUACAAUUAUACCACUUCUAGUUACAAAUGAGUUAAACUAGAUCAUAAAAAGCUACAAAAGACAAAAACCAAAAACCAAAAUAUAGUUGACAAAAAAUAUUCCUUCAAAAGAAAGUCACUGCUGAUGAAGUAAUUCAGUCAUCCUAACAGCUGGAUGAAAUAAAAACACACAAUUUAAGCUAACACGAAAUUCAUAGUCUGAAGAAAAAAAUUCUUGAGACUAAAAGGAAAACCUUUUUUGGCCCACUGCACAGGUUGGGCACAAAAGUGCUUGCUAAGCUAUCUAUUUCACACAUGCAACGACAGAAGGUUCGAUAUUCAUUCGAUCGAUGAGUGAAAAGGCACAAUGGCAAAAUCAGACAGACUUCUUUUCAAAUACAGAUCUCCAAUGUCCCCCUACAGUCUACAGAUGCACGGCUGGUGGUGUGGCUCAGACGGAGCAAGGGUUACAUCAAGGCUGUUCUCUGGACCGUGCAAACAGUCUAGACCAAUGACCUGCAGCAUCAUGCCCUUUGAAGAAGAGGCAAGUUCGGUCAUGAUGAAGAAAAAUCAAGGCGUACCCCUUUUAACAAUAGGGAGCAGCUCGAGGCUGCAAAGAGGAGUUUGUGGCCGCUUUUGAGAAAGAAAACUCUUGAUGUCAAGUUCUGAAAAGUGAAGAGAAUGAAAUACAGAAUAUGGUAAGUGACUUGCAGAUAAACUAUAUCAGCCUCAUCUCAUCUUAUGCUCCUUUGUGCAGUUAUCAUUUGUAAGGUGUAUACAUAUAAAUGCAUACUUGUGGUAGUCACUGUUGCAAUCAGUUGUAAAAUAUGACCACAGUUGAAUCAAACUCCGUCUUCUCCUUUACAUUUAUUUGUAUAAACUUGAUGUAACAGACACUUGGCUAUCAAACAUGACAGGAGAUUUUUACUCUGAUUUUUAACUGGGGAAAAUUCGAG